UGAGAGACUUCACCCAAGAGGAGCUAAACCAACACAGGCGCUAUGAUUCCUGAUCUUAGUCAGGGAGUUUGCAGUUGAACAUCAGUUUCUAGAUUUGAAACUCCAUAAAGAGGCGGAGUCACCCCGUUAAACACAACAAGCCCAAACCCGUAGACCUGUGUGGAGGAGGACAGAGAGGAGCGAGGCGGCGAGGGAGGGGUGGCUUCCGUCACAACUGGGACACAGUUCUGUCUUUUGAUUAAAAAAAAUAUAAUAAAUAAACCGGGGGGCUCACGGCUCCCAAAACGGUUCACAUUCGCGUGUUUGUGGGACACUUUGCUGGAGGGCGCCGCGGUGGAAAUGCGAUGUUUGAUGGCAGUAGAGGAGUGUUUGCAGCGCUCCCCAAGAAGAGGCAUCACGGCGCGACUUGGCUAACGUUACCUCGCUAACAAGAGUGGGGUGACAUGGCUCUCUGACAGGCUGCCAAAGGUCUCUUCAUGGAUCACACAGGACGGGCGGAAGGGAAAGCACACCACUUGUGAGCAUAUUCGAGCUCAGUAAAGUCUGACCCACAAGCAUAUCAUCAGCCUGACUUAAGCGGAUGUGGCCUUUUCAGUUGUUCAUAGACAUCUGUUGGGCAGCUCAAAGGUCUCCUGCUAUGCACUAUAAACAAAGAGACAUGAGCUGUGGGAAUGUAAGGAGAAGCAGGCUUCUUUCCUGCAGAACUCUACUUCUGGUAAUUGGGCUUUUGGUAACAAUAGCCCGAGACACUGUGGCUGACCAACAAGGUACAAAGGUGGACAUGUUACCAGUGGAACUAGAGGCAUCUAUGCAGUCCUCUGUACUCUCUGAGCUACAGGCUGCAGCAUCUUCCGUAGGUGAAGGGCCACCUACAGCUAUUCCAGAUUAUUCUGCCAAGACUGAGGGAGCGCACACCAACAUUCCUGACUCCUCAGCAAUUGUGGGCCAGGUAUUUCAGUUAAAACUUCCCCCAGGAAAAACCCAUGCAAGUUGCAAUGUCCAUCUCACUGAGCUGGGAAAAAAGUCUUUACCUUCCUGGCUUUGUUGGGAUAAGGAGAGCUGCAGUCUAAAAGGUUUGGCUCUGGAUCGAGAUAAAGGUUCAUAUCGUAUCUUGGUUUCAGAGGAGGGUCUAGCUGAGAACACAAGCAGCCAAGUAUACCCCAGCACAGUAUUUUCUAUUGAAGUAUACCCAGAAGAUCGGGCAGACACUGAGCCAGCACUUUUCACUCUACAGUCUGAUAGUAGCCUGCAACCUUUCACAUGUAUGUCUGAAGAGCCUGUUACUGUCCUAACUGUCAUAUUGGAUGCAGACUUGACAAAGAUGGUUGCUAAGCAAAGGGUCAAUUUACUGAGUGUUAUGAAAAAAUUCUCACAUGUGCCAUUGGAACACAUGAGAGUUGUCCCUGUUGUGAACAAUCGCUUAUUUGACAUGACUGCUUUCAUGGCUGGGCCAGGAAAUGCAAAGAAAGUUAUUGAGAAUGGGGCCCUUUUGUCUUGGAAAGUAGGAUGUUCCCUAGAUCAUGACAGCAUCCCUGACAUAAGCAGUGUUCAAUAUUCAGCAAAAGAUGGGACAAUGUCAGCCAAGCUUGGUUAUCCUGUGGUUGGUUGGCAUAUUGUCAACAAAAAAACUCAUGUAGUAAAACGGGUCAGGCGGCAUUUGAACAAUACUCCCACUCCAGUACCAUCCCUGCUUCCUCCAACGGUUAGUCAAGAACCUCUUUCGCGACCUGUUCCAACCCCAAUCUCACCCUUUAUUGCACCAGCAACAGAUAUUUCUGCUCCCCCUGUUCGAGGCCCUUUGCCUCUUCCAGUAAAGCCAACCAUGAGGGUCAGAGAUCAGAUAGCACAUACUCCUGUCUUUGGACCUCCCCAACCUACCAGAGUAUUAGGAACUACAAGCACCCUCCCUAUUCAACCUGCCACAACAAGGCCUACAAUUGCGGAACCCACUGCUAUGCCAACAGCCCCCAGCACCACCAAGAAACCCAAACCUUCCUCUACAAAGAAACCCAAAAAGUCCAAAUCCUCAACCCCAGCUCCUCGACAGCCAAAGUCCACCACAGUUAAAACACCUAAAAUCAGAAUAGAAUCAAAUACCACUCCAGUGAUUCGCAACUCAAUUGAUCAUGUGAUUGCAUGGGUUGGCACUUACUUUGAGCUUAAAAUUGCUGCUGAUACAUAUUAUGACAUAGAAGAUGGGACAACCGACAAGCUGCGUUUGACUUUGCUCAAGUCCUCCAAAGAACCAGUGAGUGAAACGUCAUGGAUUCAGUUCAACAGCACCAUCCAGCUUUUGUAUGGCCUUCCAGAGGAUGAAGGUAAUCAUGAGUACUUUAUGAUGGCUACUGAUAAAGGUGGCCAAAGCAUCAUGGAUGCAUUUGUGGUUCAAGUCAACCGCUGGUCUAACAACGACAAACCUUCAGUCAUGUUUGCUGCUCGAUUUGAAGGUGAUCAUAAAAGUUUAAACGGUGAUGUCAAUAAGAAAAUUCUUCUCAUCAAAAAGUUGGCAUAUGCCUUUGGCGAUAGGAACAGUAGUACUGUGACCUUGAGAAACAUCAGAAGUGGCUCCAUUGUUGUUCAAUGGACCAAUAACAGUCUUCAGCAAAACCCUUGUCCAAAGGAUCAGAUUACAGUUCUCAGUAACAGAAUCUCAGAUUCCCAAGGAAAGCCCAAACCGGCCUUCAUCAAAGCCAUGGAGCCUGAAUUCAUAACUAUCAACAUCUCUGUUUUUGGCACCAAUGAAUGUCAGAGAUAUACUUUCAUUCCUCCUGGAGAGAUUCCAGUGCCAAUUCUUCCUACACCUUCGCCUUCUCCCGGGACAGACCGUAGAAGCAGCGAUGAUGUUUACCUGCACACAGUUAUUCCAGCUGUAGUGGUGGCAGCACUGCUACUCAUAGCUGGCAUCAUUGCUAUGGUCUGCUACCGCAAGAAACGCAAAGGAAAGAUGACCACAGAGGAACAGGCAACUUUCAUCAAGAAGGGAGUUCCAAUAAUAUUUGCAGACGAGUUGGAUGAUUCCAAAUCACCUCCUUCUUCCAGCAUUCCUCUUAUCCUUCAAGAAGAGAAGCCCCCUCUUCCUCCUCCAGAGUAUCCAAACAUGCCAGGACCCCAUAGCAGCCUACUCAACCAGGAUCUAAUGGAGGAUUUUUUAAUCUAUCAGGAUGAUGAUCCGAAUGCUCCACCUUACCAGCCCCCACCACCAUUUACCGUACCCAUUGAGGGCAAAGGCUCACGUCCCAAAAAUAUGACGGCUUACAGGUCCCCACCUCCUUAUGUGCCUCCCUAACCCACAUUGGAGCUUGGAUCAUAGAAAGCAGAGAUUUGUAGAAAUGCUUCUCAGAAACUUUUACAAGGGUAAAUACAGUUGUGCUCUAUGACUUGGCUUUGACUUUUUAGAAGAGGACACAACUAUAUAUAUCUGACCAUCACAGAAUUGACACUGUAACAUAAGAUUUUACUUCUAUCAUGGGACAGAUGGAUGGAAAACAUUUUUAAUUCCAUCACUUUUUUUUUCUUCUUCUGUUCUUUGGAUCUGCUUUUGACUUAUUGCAUUUUGUUUUGCUUUUAUUAUUUCUGUCUGUUUUUGCCAAGAGGAGACAAUUUUAUCUUCAAUGAUGUACUAUUUCUAUUGUAUAGAAAAUAAUAAAGAAGCAGGAAAGACUGAAGUCCACAGGGUCUUUUUGCAGAUGUCACCAUGACAACAGACUUGAGGCUCUCCCUCACAGUGUUAAUCUUUAUGAGUUCUAAAUCAUUCUUAUCUACCCUUCAGCCAGGUUUACUAAGAUUUUGCACUUGUUAUUUCUAGAGGGAAGGAAAUGCAAAAUGGCAAGCUAAGAGCAUGAAACUUUUAUUUACACAGUUUAUGAAACAUACAUUUCUGUUUUUACUUUGCUUCCUCUUGACAAUAACUUGCAUACCUUGCACUUAUGCAAACUCUUGUUAAACCUCUGUCUUGCGCAGAUUUGAAAGCAUUUAGUUAUAGGUUGGUGAAGAAAGGAAAAAGUAUUUUUGAUAUUGGUGAAGUUUGACCACAAUUCCUCUGGUACUUGAUCACAAAAGACAUAACUCUGAUCUCAUCCAUUUUAGAAGUAGCUUCAUUAUGUUUUGUUAAAAUUUGCCACUGAAGCUGUCUGUGAGAAGAAUGGUUUCUGCUGUUGCCAAGGUGUUGCCUCUUGUCUCAUGGUAAUUCUAAUGGGGUUUCUACAACAAUAACAAAGGGGCGAUUGGCAUGCUGUGUUUCACAGCAGGUAGGGAAUCUAUUAAUGAGUUGAUUCCACUGUCUUGUGUAAUGUUGGUUUUAUUGGUGUAAGCAGUGGGUGGGUGGGUAUAGAGUACUGUAUUAUCAUUGCUCUGCCUCUAGGUGUUGCACUGCAAGAUUUAACAUACUGCUUAAACCAUGUCAGUUCAGAAAAAGCAUGGGGUUUAACAGGAUGUACAUACUUGUGUGCCUGUGGAAGAAAACGGCUUCGUAAUAUCAAGUGUUUUAUCAGUAAACUUGGUUGGGGAGUGGGUCUACGAGUGGAAAAUUGUUUUAUUUUUCAAUUGUAUGUCUAGAUUUAUGAUUCCAAUUAUAUUAAAAGAAGACAAAAAAAUCAAUUUGUGAGGGUUUAAAAGAUGGUUGACUUGCCUGUCCCAGAAAAGUCAUCUAUUAUUUCCAUGUGAUGGGAAACAAAGAAACCACAACAAUAUGUGAAUUAUGUACAUUUCAUAUCUGAUACCACCAUAAGAAAAAAUGGUUAAAUCUAAUGUUUUUACUGAGUUUUUGAUACAGUCUUAAAAAUUGUUUUAUGAAAAUGUAUUAAUAAAAUGUAAAACUAUUUGUAAAGCCUCA